rnacentral:rRNA from 1 species
GAUGAACGCUGGCGGCGUGCCUAAUACAUGCAAGUCGAGCGAACAGACGAGGAGCUUGCUCCUUCGACGUUAGCGGCGGACGGGUGAGUAACACGUAGGUAACCUACCUAUAAGACUGGGAUAACUUCGGGAAACCGGAGCUAAUACCGGAUAAUAUUUCGAACCGCAUGGUUCGAGAGUGAAAGAUGGCUUUGCCAUCACUUAUAGAUGGACCUGCGCCGUAUUAGCUAGUUGGUAAGGUAACGGCUUACCAAGGCAACGAUACGUAGCCGACCUGAGAGGGUGAUCGGCCACACUGGAACUGAGACACGGUCCAGACUCCUACGGGAGGCAGCAGUAGGGAAUCUUCCGCAAUGGGCGAAAGCCUGACGGAGCAACGCCGCGUGAGUGAUGAAGGUCUUCGGAUCGUAAAACUCUGUUAUUAGGGAAGAACAAACGUGUAAGUAACUGUGCACGUCUUGACGGUACCUAAUCAGAAAGCCACGGCUAACUACGUG